ensembl:lncRNA
AUGCCGGGAGCCAAGCGCUGCCAUGGGGCACCGGGCCUGCCCUGCACGUGGGGCCGUGACAGCCCCACGGGGCCGCCUCCGGUGCCUCCUCCCAGCUCCCGUUAUCCAGCACCCACCGGAGCCAUGCUCCUUCCAGCCCCAUCCCCUUUCCCUUGGAUCCGGGGGGAAAUAGCCCUUUCCCCGUGUUUUACCCACCCGGGGAAGCCGAGGCACAUCCAGGGGCUGCCGGGAGCAGCUCCGGGCCCGGGGGGGGGGGGGGGGGGGGGGGGGGGGGGGGGGGGGGGGGGGGGGGGGGGGGGGGGGGGGGGGGGGGGGGGGGGGGGGGGGGGGGGGGGGGGGGGGGGGGGGGGGGGGGGGGGGGGCCCGCUGCUCCCGCCCCUCGCGGCUCCCCAGACCCUCCUUUCCCGGGGGCUGCGUGGGGCCGUCGGUGACACCGGGGUCGGGGGAAACACACGGAUGAUUCCCGGGGUGGGGAACGAGAGGUUUCGUCCCGCAGCACAAGCACGGAACGGGCCGGUACCGAGCGCUCCCCCGCCCCCACGGACCUGGGAAGAUGGGAGGAACCGGGGGAACCGGGAGGAACUGGGGGGUACCGGGAGGUACCGGGGAAACCGGCCCUUACCUGCAGCCUGCCUCGGGGAGAGCGGCUGGGACCGGGACCGGGACCGGGACCGGGGGGGGGGGGGGGGGGGGGGGGGGGGGGGGGGGGGGGGGGGGGGGGGGGGGGGGGGGGGGGGGGGGGGGGGGGGGGGGGGGGGGGGGGGGGGGGGGGCCCCAGCCGCUACCGGAGCCCGGUCCGAUGUCCGGUGCUCGGUCUUCGAUGCCCAGUGCCAGUCCCGGUGUCCGAUGUCCGGUGUUCGGUCCGAUGUCCGGUGCUCGGUCUUCGAUGCCCAGUGCCAGUCCCGGUGUCCGAUGUCCGGUGUUCGGUCCGAUGUCCGGUGCUCGGUCUUCGAUGCCCAGUGCCAGUCCCGGUGUCCGAUGUCCGGUGUUCGGUCCGAUGUCCGGUGCUCGGUCUUCGAUGCCCAGUGCCAGUCCCGGUGUCCGAUGUCCGGUGUUCGGUCCGAUGUCCGGUGCUCGGUCUUCGAUGCCCAGUGCCAGUCCCGGUGUCCGAUGUCCGGUGUUCGGUCCGAUGUCCGGUGCUCGGUCUUCGAUGCCCAGUGCCAGUCCCGGUGUCCGAUGUCCGGUGUUCGGUCCGAUGUCCGGUGCUCGGUCUUCGAUGCCCAGUGCCAGUCCCGGUGUCCGAUGUCCGGUGUUCGGUCCGAUGUCCGGUGCUCGGUCUUCGAUGCCCAGUGCCAGUCCCGGUGUCCGAUGCCCGGCUCCCGGUGCCGAUGCCCGACUCUCAGUGCCCGGUUCUCUGUGCCGGUUCCUGGUGCCGGUUCUCGGCUCCCAGUGUCCAGUUCCCGGUGCCGGUUCCCGGCUCACACUGCCCGGUUCCCGGUGCCGGUUCCCAGCUCUCAGUACCCGGUUCCCGGUGCCGGUUCCUGGCUCUCAGUGUCCGGUUCCGGUGCCGGUUCCCGGCUCUCGGUGCCGGUUCCCGGCUCUCGGUGCCCGGUUCCGGUGCCGGUUCGGUGCCGGUUCCCGGCGGGUCGGGCCCGGGGGGGGGGGGGGGGGGGGGGGGGGGGGGGGGGGGGGGGGGGGGGGGGGGGGGGGGGGGGGGGGGGGGGGGGGGGGGGGGGG